rnacentral:pre_miRNA from 1 species
UCCUUCAUUCCACCGGUGUCUGUUUAAUGGCUGCAGACGUCCGUGGCAUGGAGGCCU